AGAGUUUGAUCCUGGCUCAGAUUGAACGCUGGCGGCAUGCCUUACACAUGCAAGUCGAACGGUAACAGGUCUUCGGAUGCUGACGAGUGGCGAACGGGUGAGUAAUACAUCGGAACGUGCCCGAUCGUGGGGGAUAACGAAGCGAAAGCUUUGCUAAUACCGCAUAAGAUCUACGGAUGAAAGCAGGGGACCGCAAGGCCUUGCGCGAACGGAGCGGCCGAUGGCAGAUUAGGUAGUUGGUGGGAUAAAAGCUUACCAAGCCGACGAUCUGUAGCUGGUCUGAGAGGACGACCAGCCACACUGGGACUGAGACACGGCCCAGACUCCUACGGGAGGCAGCAGUGGGGAAUUUUGGACAAUGGGCGAAAGCCUGAUCCAGCCAUGCCGCGUGCAGGAUGAAGGCCUUCGGGUUGUAAACUGCUUUUGUACGGAACGAAACGGCGAGCUCUAAUACAGUUUGCUAAUGACGGUACCGUAAGAAUAAGCACCGGCUAACUACGUG
rnacentral:rRNA from 1 species